ensembl:lncRNA
GCUGAGCCCAAGGGCGUGGGCCACGGCAUGGGGUGGGGGGCUGUGGACGGAACUCCCGAGGCGAGGGGACCUCAUGUGCCCACACAUGGGGGCUUUCCUCUUAAGGUGCUGGGAGGCCGGAGCAGGGAUGGCGUGACUCCAGCUGUCCCACGGGUCUUUGUUACCAGGGGGUGGAGUAGAGUCAGGAGGCAGGAGCCGAGGGAGGAAGACAGCUUCCAGGAGCCUCUGGCGGCUCCACAGGCACCUCAGGCUCCCGAGAAUACCAGGAAGGAAGGAAUGACAUCUCUUUGUUAGAUGCGGAAACCAAGCCUUGAAAACCAAAUGACCCACCCAAGACUGGACAUUAGGAUGAAGCGGGGUUCGAACCCGGCUCUAAAGCUCCCGGCGUUCAGUCUUGCUGGCGAGGUGGGCUUGCCAGGCUGGCCCCAGGACCACCCCCCAGGCCACUGGGCUCCUCUCAUCAUUGUCCAUCCGGUAAGCCAGCCAACUCAUCCGACAUCAUCUGCCUGAGCCCCGGUCGUCUCCCCAUCGACCCUGUCCCCCCCCCACCCCCCGGCCGGCUGCCCUGGGCUCCCAGCUUCCGAGUUGCCUGGGCGAAGAAGACAAACACCCGAGAAAGCAUACACAACGUUUAUUGAGCUCUUCCGGUGAGCUGGACCUGAGCCGAGGGCUGGACACGGAGGCUCCCGUUUAAUCCGUCCGAUGUCCCUAGGAGGUAGGUAUUCCUGCUGUCCCCAUUCUACCAAAUGGGAAACAGGGACCUGGAGAGGUGAGUGUCCAGAAGGAAAGGAAGGAGGGCAUCUGGGCUGCAGACUCAGCUCGAGCUGACCCACAGGUCCCCACUCUUAACCAGAGAUGGGACGACCCCAGAGUGCCCCUGAAACCUGUCCCGCCCUGCGGGUUAGGGGCAGGGACAGAGGGCUCUGUGCCAGCCGAGCAGUAUCUGUUACACCCCUGUGACCUGUGCCAUCACAAUCGGCCCCAGCUAUAUAACCAGGGGCUGCCAGGGCCUCUGUAAAUCUGGACGUGCCGGAAAAGCAGGAGGGGAGGCCUCUGCCCCUCCAGACGUGGCCUCCCAUGGACACCAAAGCACAGGGCCUCCCUGUCACCCACUCUCAGCCCCACAGCAACUCUCGGCCCCAAAGCCACACCUGCAGCCAGUGCGACUGCAGCCACCACUGCCAGAACUGUAGCCAGAGUUUCGCCACUGGCCGCUGCAGCCAGAGGUCAAGCCCCAACGUGCCAAAGCAUCACAGUCACACCACGCACUCCCACUCCGGUCCCGCACGGCCCAUCACCCACUCCUGCAGCUACUCCAAGAAGAGGAAGAACCUGAAAAGACAGGGGAGCAAGAGGAAGGCGGUGAAGAGGAGCCAGCGGGUUGGCAAAACACAGAGGUGGCACUCAGGGCGGAAACACAACUGAGAGGCACCCCGCGGCUCAUUCCUGUGUCGGUUUCACCCAAAUGAGGACGCCAUCCCGCGUGGAACACUAGAAGGAAAGCGUUCUGCAGGAACACGUUAACUACAGGGAUUUCUAUGCAACACUGAUUAAAGCUUGCACACUGGAUGACUCUUCUUGUGUUGGCAUUUUAAUUGCACUAAAGGUGUCUAGCGUUCGGGGCCCUGGUUUGGAAGCAGGAAGCCGGGAAGAUGCUGCAUAGGGAGUAGGGACAGGCCACGUGACCUCAGGAAAGCAUAAGGAGCUAAUGCUGGCACAGGGGCAGAAACGAAUGAGGGGUGGGGACUCCGAGGAGCCUGUGAAGUAGACAAGCAACACUCUGCUUGGGCAGAGCCCUCCUGGGUGCACACACAGGGGAUGUCCAUGGGCCCGCACACUGUUUAUGUGCUCCCCACGCAAUAGUCCACCCAGGAGCAUGGCGGGAGACAGGCGGGAAGAGGGUCAGGAAUGUGCAUUCUGCAGUCCAGAGCAUCCUGAAUUUGAAUCCUGGAUCACUGAGUUGCCCUGCUGUGUGACCUUGGGCUGGGGAUGAACCUCUCUGAGCCACACUUGUUUCAACAAACUUUUACUAAGGAACCGAAUGUGUCUGGGGGCUGUGCUAGGCUCUGCGAACGCAGAAGACACACAAGGCCCUGUGACAAGGUCCAGCGUGUUUCUAAAGAUGCUGUUGGAGGCUGUUGUCGAGGACAGAAGGGACAAGAGAAAGAGCUGCUAGCCGGGUGUGGCCAGGAGAGAGGGACCACUGGCCUGGACGGAAGGGUGACACCGGAGAUCUUCCGAGACAGGGAUGACGGGUCUACUGGCAGCUUCUCAUCAAGCCUUCCGAGGACAGCCGAGGAGCCAGCCUGUCACCACCUGGAGUCCAGCCACCGCUCCUGUCAUCGCUCCGGGGCCGGUCAGGCUCCUCUGUCCCAGAGAAGUUUCUCCUUGGGCUGGAGUGUCCCCACAGCACAUCCCUCCCCCACUGAGACAUGCCAUCUUUCAGGCUGUCGGGGCCACCGGCACAGCAAAGCCACCUCUCCAGGCGGGGUCUGGCCAACCCCCGGGGCCCCCCCCAGAUCACCUCCACCAAGUCCCACCGGCUCCAGGAGAGCCUUUCUCAGCUGGCCAAUGGCGACAUGAAGCUUCCACCUCACAACCAGGGGCAGAGCAAAUAAGGCGACAGACCCCAAAGCUGCCACCUGGCCCCGCCCCAGCAGGGGCUCGCUCGGCAAACAGCCGUUCCUUCCCAGGUCUCCCGGGGUACGGGGGCUGAGCCCAGAACCCAGGCCGUGGACUCCCCGAGCAGUGCUCUCUUCCACAAAGCAUCAACGUCCCAGUGUGGCACCCAUUUCAGGGGCUAGCGUGGCGACCCCCACAGGGGUCAGGGAUCAACAUGGGGUGUGUUCCAAGGCCUCUACUGCAGGUCAUUGAGGCUAACGCCACAGCUGCCUGGAAGGCCAGCGCCAGGCAGCUCUGCCCACACCCAAUCCUGCAGUGUCUCCUGCAAUUAGGGGGAAAAUCCAAAUGCCUCCACCCCUACAAGGGCCUGCCCCCCCCCUCACUCUCCACACCAGCUACGCACGGCUCCCCCCAGGUUCUCCAGUGUGCCCAGCACUCCCACCACUGGGACUUCUUCUCUCUCCCUAGAGCCCUCUUUAUCCGGCUUCUAGAAAGACCUCAACUCUGCUGUCACCGCCUCCAAGAGGCCUUCCCUGACUGCCUUCUCUCACUCCUCCCGCACUGCACCAACAGCUCCUCGCUCCCUUUCUCCCUGUUCAUUGCCCCCCAGCACCUGCCACCAUCUGAGAUGAUGGCGUGAAUUCGCCGCCUGUCUGCUCGAAGACCCCUGGGCCCCUGGUGCCGGCAGAUAGGAGGCACUCUAUAAAUACUUGCAGAAUAAAUACUGAAGGAGGAAAAUAGAUACGCUAUUCCCCUUAUCCUGCAGAUGAGGAAACUGAGGCAUGGAGAAGCUUGCCCCAGGCCACAUGCUUAUUACGUGGCAGACUGAAACUCAGGCCGCUCAUGGCAGAAUCGAGGCUCUAAGCCACACAGCUCAGGGCCCCCAGAGGCACGGGCUCCCUUGGGAACCUAGGCUGCCCCGUGGGUUCGGAGAAAAGGCGGGCUGAGGGGCACGGGGGCAGAGGGCAGUUUCAGGAUUACAGGCCCUGUCCCGCGGCCACUGUUCCCAGCAGAACUGUGC